UGGGGAAUCUUGCACAAUGGGCGAAAGCCUGAUGCAGCAACGCCGCGUGCGGGAAGACAGCCCUAGGGUUGUAAACCGCUUUCAGCAGGGAAGAAACUGACGGUACCUGCAGAAGAAGAUGCGGCCAACUACGUGCCAGCAGCCGCGGUGACACGUAGGCAUCAAGCGUUAUCCGGAUUUAUUGGGCGUAAAGAGCUCGUAGGCGGUUCGGUAAGUCGGGUGUGAAAAUCCAAGGCUCAACCUUGGGACGCCACCCGAUACUGCUGUGACUCGAGUGCAGUAGGGGAGCAGGGAAUUCCUGGUGUAGCGGUGAAAUGCGCAGAUAUCAGGAGGAACACCAGUGGCGAAGGCGCUGCUCUGGGCUGUAACUGACGCUGAGGAGCGAAAGCAUGGGUAGCAAAACAGGAUUAGAUACCCUGGUAGUCCAUGCCGUAAAACGUUGGGCACUAGGUGUGGGUCUCAACCAACGAGAUCCGCGCCGUCGCUAACGCAUU
rnacentral:rRNA from 1 species